CAGAGCAGCUUCCGCAAUGUGCUUUAGCUACAGCUGAUUUUAUUCACCUACACGACAAAUUAUUUGACGUCUUCAAUUGCAAGGAGAAGUAUACUGAUUCAAUUGGAAAGCCUUUUAGAACUCCGAUUACUGAAAACUCUUAUCAUUUGGAAUUUCUUGAAAAAGUUAAGUUGGGUUUUCAACGGAUGUAUUACACAACCAACACUUGUUUCGACGUAAAAGAGAAUUUGCACGAUUUUGGUUUACACGAAACUUAUUCUUCGCAUAUAAUCGGGUUGAGUGUAACAUGAACAAUGGAUUAGGCAUCGUCAUCCAUUAUGACCCCGACGUCGCGCUUCGUGGUAAAAAUGUUUUUCACCAACAUCAUAACUACCGCUGAAAUCAUAUUUGUCCCAUGCCGCAAAAUACGAAAAUGAAGAAAA